rnacentral:rRNA from 1 species
GUUAAGCGACUAAGCGUACACGGUGGAUGCCCUGGCAGUCAGAGGCGAUGAAGGACGUGCUAAUCUGCGAUAAGCGUCGGUAAGGUGAUAUGAACCGUUAUAACCGGCGAUUUCCGAAUGGGGAAACCCAGUGUGUUUCGACACACUAUCAUUAACUGAAUCCAUAGGUUAAUGAGGCGAACCGGGGGAACUGAAACAUCUAAGUACCCCGAGGAAAAGAAAUCAACCGAGAUUCCCCCAGUAGCGGCGAGCGAACGGGGAGCAGCCCAGAGCCUGAAUCAGUGUGUGUGUUAGUGGAAGCGUCUGGAAAGGCGCGCGAUACAGGGUGACAGCCCCGUACACAAAAAUGCACAUGCUGUGAGCUCGAUGAGUAGGGCGGGACACGUGGUAUCCUGUCUGAAUAUGGGGGGACCAUCCUCCAAGGCUAAAUACUCCUGACUGACCGAUAGUGAACCAGUACCGUGAGGGAAAGGCGAAAAGAACCCCGGCGAGGGGAGUGAAAAAGAACCUGAAACCGUGUACGUACAAGCAGUGGGAGCACGCUUAGGCGUGUGACUGCGUACCUUUUGUAUAAUGGGUCAGCGACUUAUAUUCUGUAGCAAGGUUAACCGAAUAGGGGAGCCGAAGGGAAACCGAGUCUUAACUGGGCGUUAAGUUGCAGGGUAUAGACCCGAAACCCGGUGAUCUAGCCAUGGGCAGGUUGAAGGUUGGGUAACACUAACUGGAGGACCGAACCGACUAAUGUUGAAAAAUUAGCGGAUGACUUGUGGCUGGGGGUGAAAGGCCAAUCAAACCGGGAGAUAGCUGGUUCUCCCCGAAAGCUAUUUAGGUAGCGCCUCGUGAACUCAUCUCCGGGGGUAGAGCACUGUUUCGGCAAGGGGGUCAUCCCGACUUACCAACCCGAUGCAAACUGCGAAUACCGGAGAAUGUUAUCACGGGAGACACACGGCGGGUGCUAACGUCCGUCGUGAAGAGGGAAACAACCCAGACCGCCAGCUAAGGUCCCAAAGUCAUGGUUAAGUGGGAAACGAUGUGGGAAGGCCCAGACAGCCAGGAUGUUGGCUUAGAAGCAGCCAUCAUUUAAAGAAAGCGUAAUAGCUCACUGGUCGAGUCGGCCUGCGCGGAAGAUGUAACGGGGCUAAACCAUGCACCGAAGCUGCGGCAGCGACACUAUGUGUUGUUGGGUAGGGGAGCGUUCUGUAAGCCUGUGAAGGUGUGCUGUGAGGCAUGCUGGAGGUAUCAGAAGUGCGAAUGCUGACAUAAGUAACGAUAAAGCGGGUGAAAAGCCCGCUCGCCGGAAGACCAAGGGUUCCUGUCCAACGUUAAUCGGGGCAGGGUGAGUCGACCCCUAAGGCGAGGCCGAAAGGCGUAGUCGAUGGGAAACAGGUUAAUAUUCCUGUACUUGGUGUUACUGCGAAGGGGGGACGGAGAAGGCUAUGUUGGCCGGGCGACGGUUGUCCCGGUUUAAG